UGGAAGUCAGAGAUGAAGCGAUGCUCAUCUUCACCUGAAAUACGGUAAAAACAAAACAUGAAUAUAGAACUAGGGAUCAGGGGAAACACUGUUCUUCAUAACUGAGCUCCACGCAGGUUUGUUGCUGCCUCCCUCCCAUCAGAUAAAACCACAGCCGCUCCACGUAUACAUAUGUUUACAUUCAGGUUCCUGAGCACAUAACACAGAUGACGAUUAAAGAGAAGAUUAGGACGUCUGAUAGAAUAAUUCACAUCUUGUUCUGCGUCGUCUCAAUCGUGGAUCCGAUCAGGAACGCAGAUGAAAAAAAACGGGAACAUAAUCCUCGUCAAAACAAGACGAGAUGAACGAGAUGAACGAGAUGAACGAGACGACAAGGUUGUGUCCUCUGUGCUGUUGGACAUGUCUCAGCGACACCUGAGCCACGGUUUGUUAGUUUUCAAUGCACCUGUUCAGACGAAAUAAAGGGUUUGGGUCUCGGGUGCAGGUGGUAUCACAGGAUCAAGUACAAGAAGACAUUUUAUUGUCAGUAUAAAGUUUUCACAGUAGAUAAAAAAAAGUGCUAAAUAAAUACAAGACUGUUUAUGUCUGUUCAGGGUCUCAGUCAUCCAGGUCAUGAGGACUGAAAUGACGUUUGAAGGAAGGCAGCUGGACUUGUAGAGUUUCUUCCAGAGUUUUUCCUGGUUUUAACUGUGGUUUUAUUUCUGUUUUGUUUGUUUUCAUUGGUUUUAUGUGUCUGUUUCUAAAAACGGCAUAUUUUUAUGUCUUUGUUCGGCUUUUUGCGAUGUUGAUUUGGAAAGUGCUAUAGAAAUAAGGGCUAUUAUCAUUGUUUCCUGCACGUUAAAGCCUGUGUGUGUGUAAUGUAAAGAAUGUAAAGAUAUUUCCAUACUAUAUCCUGGUUUCCUGCUGUGUACCAUUAGAGAAGUGAAUCAAUUCCCACUGAAUUUUCAAUGUAUUACACCCAAAUAUUGUCUUUUUCCACUUUCACCUGUUCCACUCAAACCUGUAUUUGAUCCUUCUCUCCGCGCUGUGAUGGAGCAGGAGGUCGUAUGUCCACAAACGAAAAAGCAUCAAUUUAUUUAACACGUCCCGCUAUAUAAAUUCUGGGCAAAGCUCCACGUGAAUUUCCACCCAGAACAGGACGAUUUAGUUCCACCAGAACAGAGAGGAAAUAGACGGCGGAGAGUCACGAAGCCGCAGGGUUGACGGGGCUGUUUGCUCUCUGCAAUAAAACGGCACAUUUCCCCGACUGGCUGUAACCUCCUGCUGAUGGCUGUGUUUGCUUUGGCGCUCUGGACAGGAUGUGACAGCCCCAACUACACCUCACCCCACCUCACCCCAAACCAUGGGACGCAAGCACACAUGCACAGACAUAUAUAACAAAAUGAUUACUGGUCAACUGAGGACACUUUGAGAGACUUUCAGCAUGUUAAUAUACUGAUAUGUUACCUUUAGCACAGCUGGGAAUUGAUAUCAUUACAGGCUUUUUGCAAUAAUAAUAAUAUUUAGGACAUACCCAAAAUAAAUUGAACAUUUUGGGGCUCA